rnacentral:rRNA from 1 species
AGUCGCACGGGAUCAUUCAGGUAGCAAUACUCGGAUGGUCCAGUGGCGCACGGGUGAGUAACACGUGAAUCACAUGCCCUUCAGUGGGGGAUAGCCCAGGGAAACUUGGAUUAAUACCCCAUGGUCUCGCGAGAGUAAAGGCGGCUUCGGCUGUCGCUGAAGGAUUGGUUCGCGCCCUAUCAGCUUGUUGGCGGGGUAACGGCCCACCAAGGCUACGACGGGUACCUGGUUUGAGAGGACGAUCAGGCACACUGGAACUGAGACACGGUCCAGACACCUACGGGUGGCAGCAGUCGAGAAUAAUUCACAAUGGGGGCAACCCUGAUGGUGCAACGCCGCGUGGAGGAUGAAGGUCUUCGGAUUGUAAACUCCUGUCAUCCGGGAGUAAGACCUGGCGGUUAACAGCCGACAGGGUUGAUAGUACCGGAAGAGGAAGGGACGGCUAACUUCGUGCCAGCAGCCGCGGUAAUACGAAGGUCCCGAGCGUUGUUCGGAAUCACUGGGCGUAAAGGGAGCGUAGGCGGUGCGGUAAGUCAGAUGUGAAAUCCCGGGGCUCAACCCCGGAACUGCAUCCGAUACUGCCGUGCUAGAGCAAUGGAG